rnacentral:piRNA from 1 species
UCUCCCUCGGGUAUUGUAGUCUAGGAUGC